rnacentral:lncRNA from 1 species
ACACAAGCAAGCUAGGGACGAGCUGGACACGAGAUGGUCGUUAAAUUAUCGAGUUGAAAAAGUAGCUUGUGUUUGGUUCGUUAAUAAAUGAGCCGAAUAGGAGCUAGCCCAUGAAUAACAAGUUAAAAAUAUUAGAAGGAAUAUAUAUAUACUAGUGUAGUGACCCGCGCGAUGCAGCAGGUAGAUAAUAUUCAAUAUUUAACGUUAGUUUUUCUACUAUAAUUUUUUCGUUUUUCAGUUAGGUAGGUCUCCAAGAAAAAAGUUACAGUUAGCCUUGCACACGUGAAACAUGAUUAUAGACAUUAAUGAAAUUUUAUCUUAUAAAUUGUACUUUGUAAUAUAUAAGAUGCAAAAUAUAAUGAAGCAUGACAACAACGUCGAACAAAUCGUCGAUAGGUUUUUAUCCAUUAAAUAAACAUUCAUUUAAUUAUUAAUCAUUGUUUUUCAAUAUUCUAAAAAAAAUCUAUAUAUUCGUUUAUAAAUAUUAAUAUUAACAGUAUUUUCUAUAAGACAACAAAAAAUACUAAAAAAUUAUAAAUUUAUAGAGUUUCCAAUUA